ensembl:lncRNA
GCUUAGAGCAUAACACCGCCUGAACGUUUUGCCUUAAACAUCCAAGUUACUUUUCUUUUUAUUUAAUAUCACCCCGCUCUCGGGUCUAAAUAAACAUCGACUCAUGCACACAAAAGCGUACGCUCACACUUAGCGAACUCCAAUUACCACCCACUUCCGUUCCUUAACCUAACAGAUGACACAUUCAUUUAAGCAACAAUUUUAAAUACUUGGCGGAAUGUUUUUCAUACGCACAGCUAUGGGGAUAUUAUCAGGGCAGCACUCAUUUAAGAGCAGCCACACGUGUUGGAGACACCUAUAGAUGCACGCCACCCUACAGAUGCGCACACGUAUAGGUGGUGCACACAUUCAAAUGCUGUAUUUCUGUCGUGAGGAAGGUCUGCACACGCUGCAGGAGGUACACGUGGGUACAGCUUACAUUCAAACUCAAUCUAGGUAGCCCCUUUGCAAAAGGCUGUAUUCUGCCCCAAAUGACCGGAGAGGUGUAUAUGGAAAGGUAUAUGUCUGUAUAUGCAUAGCACGGGGAAGCACACGCAAUACGACAGUGUUCGGUAACUUUAGCUCUAUAAAUAGUGCUGUCAAGUAUAAAAACUUUCGUCCCCUUGGCUACUGAUAUGCUCAGAAGAUUAUUAUUGGUUUGUAUUAAUAGAUUCAGGCCUCAAAAGACGAAAUCAGCUAUUGAUAAUUGCAAGAAGUAUACAGCAGCUCCUGUAUCGAUCGGCUUGUCCCUUAUUCCCCUGGUAUAGGAGAGAUAAGAAGACACACUCUUUAGUGCAAUAUAAUUUCUUUUGACCUAUCUGCUUGCUACAGACUUAUGAUGAAUAGCCGGAGUGGUUAAAGUCCUUUAUCACGAAAGUUACCCCUUGAUAUAAUAUUGAUUCUUUAUAACUAGCUCCAAACACAAAAAUCAAACUGUCCACUUGACCAUCAUCAUCAUCAAUAUCAUCACAAAGGCUCCGGAAUAAAGAUCAGCACAGGACUGAAAACGCUUUCUAUAAUCUGCCCACCUAAUCUUUAUUUGCUGAUGAUGAAAGGAGAAGGGGUGUGCGCGUGUGUGUGUGUGUGUGUGUGUGUGUGUGUGUCUGUGUGCGAGCGCUGUCCGGGCGGGGGAUGGGGGGGGGAUGGGGGGGGGGGAGGGCAUCGGAGCAGGGAAUGUCAUCUGAGCAAACAAAAAACAACACAGGAGGUUAAGAAAAAAAAAAGCCCGCUCAGCCUCCUUGCCAAGAAACCCAAUGAUGAUCGCAGAAGUUAACGAUCGCGCCCCGAAGCUCUGCUUUCCUGGAGGAGGGGAACCCCGCGCUCGGCAGGCCCGGCUUUGGGUUUAUGCUUCUUCCCCCCCCCCCCCCCGAGCGGAGCGGUCCUCAGUGAAGGCAGAGAGUUAAGUAAGAAAGCAACCGCGGCAGAGUGCUCCUCGCUUAGCAUCAGCACUAACGAGUCGUCCUCUCCCCUCGCCCGUCCGCAAAGCGAUCCAUCAUUUAUUUCCAGAUCACCUGGUGAUCUGUAACACAGAAAGAAAAAAAAAAGAGAGAGAGAGAUUAAGGAAGGAGCCGCCGACACCGCUCCAUGCGCAAUACCUAUCGGCUGAUGUAGAAAAGAAAGCAUAAUCCACAUGUAUAUUGCCUUUAACGAAAGGUAUUUCCUUCGCCUUCCCUCCCUACAGUACCGGCAUGCUUUUGCUGAGGGCUGCGUUUGCACAGUCGCCAGUAAUUACACGCGUGUGUCCGCCGGGAGAACGAAGGUUGGGAAGGUGGGAGGUAGGACGUGAUUCCUCUUUGGAGCAAUCAGGACUGGGAAAGGUUUCAUUCCGUGCAGACGCUUCACCUGCUUAUGAUGUAGCCUCAGAAGAGAAUACCUCUUCCGGUAUGUGCAUUUGAUUUCUCUGUUGGCGUCACCUGGCAGCACUCCCACUGGAGGGAAACCAAAAUGAUUUUCUGAUUUUUUUUUUCACUAGGGAAAGGUGAAAGAUGGUGGUAGUGGUGAUAGGUGAAGUAUCACAGCUGGCUUGUGGACAUUUUCUUAAUGAGAGCAGCGAUACUCCCCACUGGUGAUUUUCACCAUUACAGCAAGAUCUCUGCCACUACUGUGACCAAAAUCAAUCGAUCAGUCAGUCACUCUGCCUGCCUCUGUCUGCUAGCAGAAGCAAUGCCGC